rnacentral:rRNA from 1 species
CGUCCCGCCGGCGACCGGCGCACGGGUGAGUAACACGUAUGCAACCUGGCCGCCACAGGGGGAUAACCCGCGGAAACGCGGCCUAAUACCCCGUGACGCCACCGGAGGGCAUCCUCCGGUGGCCAAAGGAGCGAUCCGGUGGCGGAUGGGCAUGCGGCGCAUUAGCUAGUCGGCGGGGUAACGGCCCACCGAGGCGACGAUGCGUAGGGGUUCUGAGAGGAAGGCCCCCCACACUGGUACUGAGACACGGACCAGACUCCUACGGGAGGCAGCAG